rnacentral:lncRNA from 1 species
GGGAGGGCUCCUUCCUUGCUUCAGCCCCUCCUCCUACACGGCCCUGCCAGUGGGGGCUCGACUCAGCCUCCUCCUUGGCUUGGCUCCUGCAGCUUGUACAAGAACAACAUCGGGGAUGCAGGGGCGGAGCAUGUGGCGAAGGUGCUGCCCCAGAUGUGUGCCUUGCGGGUGCUGGACCUGCACUGCAACCAGAUUUCUGCUGCUGGAGCCCGGUGUCUGACGGAGCGCCUGAGAAGAUGCCCCCACGUCCAGAGCUUGGCGCUGUGGAACCCCACAAUCCCUCACGGGGUUCUGGAUCACCUGCAGCAGCUGGAUUCUCGGAUCAGAAGGUUUUAGGGGCAGCCCCUGGCCGGUCAGUUCGGGUUCUGUGGUGGAGGACUGGAUCCUCUUUCUGAAGGAAUCCUCUCCAGGGCAGUUGACGCCAGGUCCCACAUUCUGUGAAAUAGCGGAAGGCAAGGGAAAUGUGUGUGUGUCUCUGCAGAGAGGUGGAAGCGUCAAAAGUUAUUUGACUUAGCAGAGAUAUCUAUGGAGAAUAAGCAACUGACUUCUUAAGAAAGAAAAAAAAACUACGUAAUGCUGGUGCUUUCUGAAUAAACUCCCCUCCCUUUGAGAUCCGAU